GGAAAAGAAACUAACCAGGAUUCCCCUAGUAACGGCGAGUGAACCGGGAAGAGCUCAAGCUGAAAAUCUUCGGAAUUGUGGUCUAUAGGUGCGGACUCGCGCAGCCCCAGGUAUAAAUCCGUUCUUGGAAUUGGGUGCCAGAGAGGGUUAGAGCCCCGUCUUUGACUUGGGUAGCUGUGCGUGGCGAGUCUUUACCGGAGAGUCGGCUUGCUUGGGAAUGCAGGCCAAAAUGGGUGGUAAACUUCAUCUAAAGCUAAAUAUUGGCGAGAGACCGAU
rnacentral:rRNA from 1 species